AUCCUUCUUUGUUCUUGGCCGAAAACAGAAGAAGAGAAGAGUCAUUGUCUAAGCUUGAGUAUUCGGCAUUUUAGAUCUUUGCAUAUAUAUUUUUAUGAAGAUGGGCGAUAAAAUCGAUUCAAAGGAUCACAAUAUCCAGAUAUUUUUUGGUAGUUUUUGGACGUUUACUUUUGGCUUAUACGACAUGUAAUAGGUGAAAUGGUAUAAGUUUUAAUUGUACCAUAUUUGUGGUAAUGGUUAAAUUGAUGAAAUGAUGUUUAUGUUUUGUAAUAGCUAUACGUGAUCAUGUUUUAGACAUUGUGUGGUUAUGGUAUUGUUAUACUAUUUGCUUA